rnacentral:lncRNA from 1 species
CAGAGAGAGGUAGAGAGAAAGAGGGAGUGUGCAAGAGAGCGGGACUCUCUAGGCUACUCUCCUACACAAUAAGUCCGCAACAGGAAAGGCUCCUUACCCCUGCUCUGCGCUUGGUGUGCUGUAGCUCCUCAGGAACAUAUGGAGGAUCUGCGUAGGGUGUGUGUGUGUGUGUGUGUGUGUGUGUGUCGGUGUGUUUCGGUGUGUGCGGUGUUGUGUUCUUGACCACGGUACCUCACCAGAUGCUCAGUGUUUAAGCUGUGAACAAGGAGUAAUCUGCGGAACCAUCUCAGCGCACUGAGACACAAACAAACAGUCUUCUCUCUAAAGUGUGUGUUGGAAUUGAAUAUUGCUUUUGUAAUCUCGCAGACGGAAGGCCUUUGGUCAUGCAUUGGGUUCUGAUGGCUGGUGCUGAUGCAGACUGGUAACACGCACCUCAGGGCUAGUGCGAGGAGCAGGAACAGGACGUACUGGACGGGCCAGGCGCACUGGAGGCCUAAUGCAUGGAACUGGCUUUGGAGGUGCCAGUUCCAUAGCCGAUCAUUGAGAGUAUCUCUACCGCUCCUGCUGUCUCUAGAGAGUUGAAAACAGCAGGUCUGGGACAGGUAGCAGUCCGGUGAACAGGCCAGGGUUCCAUAGCCGCAGGCAGAACAGUUGAAACUGGAGCCGCAGCACGGCCAGGUGGACUGGGGACAGCAAGGAGUCAUCAUGCCAGGUAGCCCUGAGGCAUGGUCCUAGGGCUCAGGUCCUCCGAGAGAAAGAAAGAAAGAGAGAAAGAAUUAGAGAGAGCAUACUUAAAUUCACACAGGACACCAGAUAAGACAGGCGAAAUACUCCAGAUAUAACAGACUGACCCUAGCCCCCUGACACAUAAACUACUGCAGCAUAAACACCGGAGGCUGAGACAGGAGGGGUCAGGAGACACUGUGGCCCCAUCCAAUGAUACCCCUAGACAGGGCCAAACAAGCAGGAUAUAACCCCACCCACUUUGCCAAAGCACAGCCCCCACACCACUAGAGGGAUACCUUCAACCACCAACUUACCAUCCUGAGACAAGGCCGAGUAUAGCCCACAAAGAUCUCCGCCACGGCACAACCCAAGGGGGGGGGGGCAACCCAGACAGGAAGACCACGUCAGUGACUCAACCCACUCAAGUGACGCACCCCUCCUAGGGACGGCAUGGAAGAGCACCAGUAAGCCAGUGACUCAGCCCCUGUAAUAGGGUUAGAGGCAGAGAAUCCCAGUGGAGAGAGGGGAACCGGCCAGGCAGAGACAGCAAGGGCGGUUCGUUGCUCCAGAGCCUUUCUGUUCACCUUCCCACUCCUGGGCCAGACUACACUCAAUCAUAGGACCUACUGAAGAGAUGAGUCUUCAGUAAAGACUUAAAGGUUGAGACCGAGUCUGCGUCUCUCACAUGGGUAGGCAGACCAUUCCAUAAAAAUGGAGCUCUAUAGGAGAACACCCUGCCUCCAGCUGUUUGCUUAGAAAUUCUAGGGACAAUUAGGAGGCCUGCGUCUUGUGACCGUAGCGUACGUGUAGGUAUGUGCGGCACUACCAAAUCGGAAAGAUAGGUAGGAGCAAGCCCAUGUAAUGCUUUGUAGGUUAGCAGUAAAACCUUGAAAUCAGCCCUUGCCUUAACAGGAAGCCAGUCUAGGGAGGCUAGCACUAGAGUAAUAUGAUCAAAUCUUUACCAUUAUGGAAAUGUCAGGCAGGGUUACUUUAAGAAAUGAGGAGAUGGGAAACUCUAUUGGAUUCGUAUUAACGGACAUUGUGAACGAUGCCCUAUGUUGUCAAUGGAGAUUCUGGGACAAAAAGUGCACUCCUUCAAUGAGUGAAUGGGAGUCAACUGGGUGCUAGCUCAAAAAAGAAAUAUUAGCAUGAAUUACGUGAACAAGAAGCACAACAUUAAAAAUAUUUUCCGAGAUGUGA